rnacentral:rRNA from 1 species
UUUAAAUUGAGAGUUUGAUCCUGGCUCAGGACGAACGCUGGCGGCGUGCCUAACACAUGCAAGUCGAGCGGAGAAAGUUCUUCGGAACUUUCUUAGCGGCGGACGGGUGAGUAACACGUGGGUAACCUGCCUUAUAGAGGGGGAUAGCCUUCCGAAAGGAAGAUUAAUACCGCAUAACAUUUUCGUUUCGCAUGAAAUGAAAAUCAAAGGAGCAAUCCGCUAUAAGAUGGACCCGCGGCGCAUUAGCUAGUUGGUGAGGUAAUGGCUCACCAAGGCGACGAUGCGUAGCCGACCUGAGAGGGUGAUCGGCCACAUUGGAACUGAGAUACGGUCCAGACUCCUACGGGAGGCGCGACAGUGGGGAAUAUUGCACAAUGGGGGAAACCCUGAUGCAGCAACGCCGCGUGAGUGAUGAAGGCCUUCGGGUUGUAAAGCUCUGUCUUUGGGGACGAUAAUGACGGUACCCAAGGAGGAAGCCACGGCUAACUACGUGCCAGCAGCCGCGGUAAUACGUAGGUGGCAAGCGUUGUCCGGAUUUACUGGGCGUAAAGGAGCGUAGGUGGAUGUUUAAGUGGGAUGUGAAAUACCUGGGCUUAACUUGGGUGCUUUGCAUUCCAAACUGGAUAUCUAGAGUGCAGGAGAGGAAAGUGGAAUUCCUAGUGUAGCGGUGAAAUGCGUAGAGAUUAGGAAGAACACCAGUGGCGAAGGCGACUUUCUGGACUGUAACUGACACUGAGGCUCGAAAGCGUGGGGAGCAAACAGGAUUAGAUACCCUGGUAGUCCACGCCGUAAACGAUGGAUACUAGGUGUGGGGGUUUCAACACCUCCGUGCCGCCGUUAACACAAUAAGUAUCCCGCCUGGGGAGUACGGUCGCAAGAUUAAAACUCAAAGGAAUUGACGGGGGCCCGCACAAGCGUGGAGCAUGUGGUUUAAUUCGAAGCAACGCGAAGAACCUUACCUAGACUUGACAUCUCCUGAAUUACCCUUAACCGGGGAAGUCGGUACCUUUGGUAUCGACAGGAAGACAGAGUGGUGCAUGGUUGUCGUCAGCUCGUGUCGUGAGAUGUUGGGUUAAGUCCCGCAACGAGCGCAACCCUUAUUGUUAGUUGCUACCAUUUAGUUGAGCACUCUAGCGAGACUGCCCGGGUUAACCGGGAGGAAGGUGGGGAUGACGUCAAAUCAUCAUGCCCCUUAUGUCUAGGGCUACACACGUGCUACAAUGGCAAGUACAAAGAGACGCAAGACCGUGAGGUGGAGCAAAUCUCAAAAACUUGUCCCAGUUCGGAUUGUAGGCUGAAACUCGCCUACAUGAAGCCGGAGUUGCUAGUAAUCGCGAAUCAGCAUGUCGCGGUGAAUACGUUCCCGGGCCUUGUACACACCGCCCGUCACACCAUGAGAGUUGGCAAUACCCGAAGUCUGUGAGCUAACCCGUAAGGGAGGCAGCAGCCGAAGGUAGGGUCAGCGAUUGGGGUGAAGUCGUAACAAGGUAGCCGUAGGAGAACCUGCGGCUGGAUCACCUCCUUUCUA